AACACACAAAGUUCUGUGCUCAUUCAGUGUCAACAUGCAAGUUCUAUGCCAACAUUUCCAAUGGAGGCACCAGGACUUGGCACCACCUUUUUAGAAACCAUUCUUAUAGCUGAUAAUUCAAUUAGUUGCUGUUGAAAUAAGGGUUUGUCUUCACUAUUCUGCUGGGACCCACUGGCUACAGGUAAAAUCUCGGUGUGAUUGAGCUGCAAGUGUGCUGUUUGCUUUGCCUUCACUCAUUAGUGAGCAGCAGGAGCAAAUGCAGUGGGAUCUGAGAUGCAUCACAAACCUGCACCCCGUAAGAGGAGAGAACUGUGAGUUUUCUGAGCCCAAACAAAGCUUUGACUUUUUUUGUUUAAUGUCAGGGGUUAUUUUCUAGCUGGCAAAAUUUAUAAGCUGUUCCCAAGAUCCGGGGAUGCAGAUUCAAUAAGGG
rnacentral:lncRNA from 1 species